GACGAACGCUGGCGGCGUGCUUAACACAUGCAAGUCGAACGAAGUGGCGAACGGGUGAGUAACGCGUAAUAAACCUGCCCUUCAGAGGGGGACAACAGUUGGAAACGACUGCUAAUACCGCAUACGGAAGGAGGGGAAUGAGUCGGAUUAGCUAGUUGGAGGGGUAACGGCCCACCAGGGCGAGGCACAGUAGCCGGUCGGAGAGGAUGAACGGGCACAUUGGGACUGAGGCACGGCCCAGACCCCUACGGGAGGCAGCAGUGGGGAAUCGUCCGCAAUGGACGAAAGUGUGACGGAGCAACGCCGCGGGAGUGAGGACAGCCGUCGGGUUGUAAAGCUCCGUUAAUCGGGACGCGGUACCGGAAUAGAAAGCCACGGCUAACUACGUGCCAGCAGCCGCGGUAAUUC
rnacentral:rRNA from 1 species